rnacentral:rRNA from 1 species
GACGAACGCUGGCGGCGUGCCUAACACAUGCAAGUCGAACGGGGGCCAGGGGGCAACUCUGGUUCAGUGGCGGACGGGUGCGUAACACGUGAGGAACAUGACCUUCGGCGGGGGAGUAGCCGGCCCAACGGCCGGGUAAGUACCGCGUACGACCACAUGGGGACGAUCCCUGAGUGGUGAAAGCAGCAAUGCGCCGAUGGAGUGCCUCGCGGCCUAUCAGCUAGUUGGUGAGGAACGGCUCACCAAGGCGACGACGGGUAGCUGGUCUGAGAGGAUGGCCAGCCACAUUGGGACUGAGACACCGGCCCAGACUCCUACGGGAGGCAGCAGGUGGGGAAUAUUGCGCAAUGGAUGAAAGUCUGACGCAGCGACGCCG